AGAAGGCUGGGGACAGUGUCCGCCUGAGAGUGCAAACUAAAGCAAACGUGUGUUCGUGGUGUGUGUGCGGUGUGUGUGUGUGUGGUUAGCGUCUGUACACGGUGUUUCUGUGUGUAUUCUGUUUGUGGCCGCGUGGAGGCCCGUGAAGACACUGCGUGUUUGCUGUGGGACCCUCUGCAUGCUCACAGCGGGACGGUGGAGGCUGAGGAAGAGGCGGUGCCGGAGUAAACAGGGUGGUACAAAGCCAGACUUGCAGGUUUGGGGCAGCACGGGAGUCAGCAACCCCGCCUGCGUGCAGACAAAGACGCUUGCGCCUGCGCUGUGCCCUCCCGGCCCCGCCCCGAGCCUUGAGCCCCUCCUCCCCUCGGUGGCCUUUUACUGCCUGCCCAGUUCCCUUGCUCUUGUGUCUGCCGUUAGGACUUUGCCUGUCUGCAACGUGUGUGGACAGAAACAUUCUGGGAAGAGAGCUCCAGUCCAAGCCCACCCCGGUGCCCGACAGUCAGUCACGGUUGCACACAUGACUCAGUGAGGACGUUUCCUCCGGCUCUGGAACUCCACUUCCCUCUCCCACUGCGGCCUUGUCUUUCCAUGCACUGAGCAGCUGAGAGCUCGGAUGACCACAGGUCUGUAUCAGUUCCAGUGGCAGCUGUCCCAGUGUGGUGGUAACAGUCCCUUUCCACCUCCGGAUACUGUGUCCAUCUGCAGCUCCUCCCCCGCCGCCGCCUCCCCUCCCUGACCCAGAGGAGCCGGCCUGUGCCUCCAUCUAGAGUUUCCUCCUCUGGCUUGUAUUGCUAUCACGUUCCUUAAAGUGUCUGCAAGAGGCGGACAGAAGACACUGCCUCGCUUGCCCAGGGAGGCUUUUUGCUUCCCCUCUGCCCUUUCCCACAGCUCCUCAGCCAGUCUGAUUUGAAGGGCCCAGAUGUGGCCCUGAUACUUCCAUGCUGGUCCAAAGUGAAGAAAGUGUCUAUUUAGCAAGUUCACAGAAUUGAGGCAGUUUCCGACACAAACGAAUAGACGUAGGUACAUACAGAUGCUCAAACCCUCGACAGUCCGUUGCUGAGGGCCUGUGCCUGUAGGUCUCGUGACAGCUGACUCAGGACAGGAACCGCUGCUUUUCCAGGAAAGGCAGAAAGGAAGGACACCUUCCACCUACACAGGUUCUAUCAACCAGGCUCAGAAAGCCUCUGAACAUGAAACAGAAGCCCCUGGCAUAAAGCUUGGGCUCCUAAGAACCACUACAAAACACACAGCCCUUCAACUGUCUGCCUGGGAUUUUUCUGGGCGCCCCCCCCCCAAGUUCGCCAUGAUGGGGAAGUCAGGAUAGCGAACCUGCAAUCCCAGCACUAGGAUGGCUCAGGCAGGAUCCUGUGUUUGAGGUUAGCUUGGGCUAUAGAGUGAGACCCUGUCUCAAAAACCAGACAACUGGGGGAAACUGUCAACUCUUCCUUAUGCCUGCAGUUUUAUCUCCAGCGAGAUCUACGUACAGGCUGCUGUUUUCAGAGCUCGGAGCAGGGUUCCUCCCGGAAAGCACUGUGGGUCUGCAGGAGACACAGGAGCCCUUCCAGUCGCUCACCCUGCUGCAGGCCACAAGCGGGAGGGCUGCUUCCCUCCGGUUUUUUUUUUUAAACCUCAAAUACUGUCUUUCAUCUGAAACCCAACAUGGCCUUGUACUAAUAAACAUGACAGGAGUGGCCG